CUGAGAAAUCGUAAUCCCAAAUAUAACAUGUUUUACAUUUUACCACUUUCUAAAUGGCAUUGUGCAUUCAUAACUAGCAAUCAGUUGUCCCAAAUCCUCUUGUGAUUCUGUGAGACAAAAUACCCAAUUCUGUAACUUGAGAGAAUCUGGGUGCAUUAUAUAUUCUCGCAUUGACAUUCCCCACAUGGUGUGAAGCCCAUUUCCGGAGUCCCCCGCCGUGAUAUUGCUGGAAUAUUGCUAAAAGCGAUAAUUGUACAUACACAUUUGCACACAUAUACGAGUUUGGAAUGGGAAAGGUUCUUGUAAGUAGAAUCAGAUCACAUUUGAGAAUUCCGAAAACCAGUAUGUCAGCCGUGGAAGCUAAUUAACGUAUCGCCACUUGUCAAUCAAACCAAUGACCUGACCAAUGAGGAACGUCAAAUUACUCAAUCCGUAUCGCGCUGAAGUCAGCUGACAGCCGACCACCAUUUUGUCCGACAUCAGUGGUCUGGUGGACUUUUCAAAAAUAAAUCGACGUUUACAGUCAACUUUUUGAUCAUGGUGAAAAGGUGUAGCUAGGGUACCUGCAACUCGGACACGCGGUACCCGGAACGACUUGCAGGUGGUAUCACCUUUAUUCCAUUCCCCAAGCCUGCCAGAAAUUUUGACAAAUGUCAACGAUGGAUACGUUUGUGUGGUCGCCCCAAAUAUCAACUGAACAUGGACAUACUUCGUGACCACAGCCGAAGAAAAUAUUUCUUCGUAUGCACAAAGGUAUGGAAACUAAAAUUGAAUAACAUCUUAACUGAUGUUGACGUUAAUGUAAAUUUAGAUAUCUUUGACUUGGUAGAUCUUACAGUGCUUUUAAGUUUUUUACAUAACCAGUGUACACAGAUUUUCACUGAUUCAGUUAUUGGUAUGUUAAGGACAGACAGACGAUGUCUGUGUUCGAUCAUACGAUUUCAGAUACAUCAGUGUUGUUUGUAUAGACUAAUAAAUGCGAGUUUAUUUACAGCACUUUGUUGAUGGAAAACCCUCCAAGACAUUUCCGGACUCCUCAUGAACAAAAUGAAAAUCCAAAGACAGUAAGAUCACGACCCAAACCUCGCUUGCCAUUAUUGGGCGACUUAAAAAAGGAAAGUUCUUCUUGAAACACACAGAUGUAAUCACAGUACUGGUAUUUCUGAUUCACGAAAUCAGAUGGAUAUUGAACAUCCAGAGCCUACAACCAUGCAGCAUGAAUCUGAUAUUCUUGUCCAACAACGUGACACCAUGGGUCCCUUGUCACUGGAUAUGCUGGCUCUAGCUGCAGAGAACAAGCAACUCAAAGAAGAUAUGGCCAAACUGAUCCUGGAAAAGGAGAAGGUCAUGCGUGCC